CGCGCAGGCGGAUUAGCAAGUCAGAGGUGAAAUCCUACAGCUUAACUGUAGAACUGCCUUUGAAACUGUUAAUCUUGAGUACGGAAGAGAGAAGCGGAAUUCCAGGUGUAGUGGUGAAAUACGUAGAUAUCUGGAAGAACACCAGUUGCGAAGGCGGCUUCUUGGUCCGUUACUGACGCUGAGGCGCGAAAGCGGUGGGGAGACAAACA
rnacentral:rRNA from 1 species